GGGUUUGCGGGCUUCCUGAAUGUAAUACCCGGGUAUUAGAUUUUAAGGCCAGGGAAAGGUUUAAGUUUUUUGGCGUUAGGGUUAAAAUCACUGUCCAAAACCUUUGUAGGAACUCUUUUCCAACCUUUUGGAGUUAGUUAGACCAAAAAAUAUGAAAAAAGAAAAAAAUAUUAUUGGGGGUUUUCGGGCUCCCUGAAAGUAAUACCCGGGUAUUAGGUUUUAAGGCUGGGGUAAGGUUUAAGGUUUUUGGCGUUAGGGUUAAAAUCACUGUCCAAAACCUUUGUAGGAACUCUUUUCCAACCUUUUGGAGUUAGUUAGACCAAAAAAUAUGAAAAAAGAAAAAAAUAUUAUUGGGGGUUUUCGGGCUCCCUGAAAGUAAUACCCGGGUAUUAGGUUUUGGGGCUAUGGUAAGGUUUAAGUUUUUUGGCGUUAGGGUUAAAAUCACUGUCCAAAACCUUUGUAGGAACUCUUUUCCAACCUUUUGGAGUUGGUUACACCAACAAAAAUGUAAAAUGAAGAAAAAAAUAUUUGGGGUGUUCAGGCUUCCUGAAGGUAAUACCCGGGUAAUAGAUUUCAAGGCUAGGGUAAGGUUUAAGGUUUUUGGCGUUAGGGUUAAAAUCACUGUCCAAAACCUUUGUAGGAACUCUUUUCCAACCUUUUGGAGUUAGUUAGACCAAAAAAUAUGAAAAAAGAAAAAAAUAUUAUUGGGGGUUUUCGGGCUCCCUGAAAGUAAUACCCGGGUAUUAGGUUUUGGGGCUAUGGUAAGGUUUAAGUUUUUUGGCGUUAGGGUUAAAAUCACUGUCCAAAACCUUUGUAGGAACUCUUUUCCAACCUUUUGGAGUUGGUUACACCAAAUAAUGUAAAAUGAAGAAAAAAAUAUUUGGGGUGUUCAGGCUUCCUGAAGGUAAUACCCGGGUAUUAGAUUUCAAGGCUAGGGUAAGGUUUAAGGUUUUUGGCGUUAGGGUUAAAAUCACUGUCCAAAACCUUUGUAGGAACUCUUUUCCAACCUUUUGGAGUUAGUUAGACCAAAAAAUAUGAAAAAAGAAAAAAAUAUUAUUGGGGGUUUUCGGGCUUCCUGAAAGUAAUACCCGUGUAUUAGGUUUUGGGACUAGGGAAAGGUUUAAGGGUUUUGGCGUUAGGGUUAAAAUCACUGUCCAAAACCUUUGUAGGAACUCUUUUCCAACCUUUUGGAGUUAGUUAGACCAAAAAAAAAUGAAAAAUUAAAAAAAAUAUAUUUGGGGUGUUCAGGCUUCCUAAAAGUAAUACCCGGGUAUUAGGUUAUGGGGCUAUGGUAAGGUUUAAGGUUUUUGGCGUUAGGGUUAAAAUCACUGUCCAAAACCUUUGUAGGAACUCUUUUCCAACCUUUUGGAGUUAGUUAGACCAAAAAAUAUGAAAAAAGAAAAAAAUAUUAUUGGGGGUUUUCGGGCUCCCUGAAAGUAAUACCCGGGUAUUAGGUUUUGGGGCUAUGGUAAGGUUUAAGUUUUUUGGCGUUAGGGUUAAAAUCACUGUCCAAAACCUUUGUAGGAACUCUUUUCCAAACUUUUGGAGUUAGUUAGACCAAAAAAAAAGAAAAAUGAAAAAAAAAUAUUUGGGGUGUUCAGGCUUCCUAAAAGUAAUACCCGGGUAUUAGGUUAUGGGGCUAUGGUAAGGUUUAACGUUUUGGCGUUAGGUUUAAAAUCACUGUCCAAAACCUUUGUAGGAACUCUUUAACAACCUUUUGGAUUUAGUUAGACCAAAAAAAAAAGAAAAAUGAAAAAAAAAUAUUUGGGGUGUUCAGGCUUCCUAAAAGUAAUACCCAGGUAUUAGGUUAUGGGGCUAUGGUAAGGUUUAAGUUUUUUGGCGUUAGGGUUAAAAUCACUGUCCAAAACCUUUGUAGGAACUCUUUUCCAACCUUUUGGAGUUAGUUAGACCAAAAAAAAAUGAAAAAUUAAAAAACAAUAUUUGGG
rnacentral:lncRNA from 1 species